rnacentral:lncRNA from 1 species
AGCCAUCCAUCACAGCCACUGUGAACAGCUUGGUAUGGUUUCUGAUGCGAUCUUCAUCUUUGCCACUUUCCUGCUUGAUUUAAUAUUCUAGUUUCGUGUUAUGACCAUUGUUCAAUCAGAUAUUUCCGGGAUGAACUAUUUUAAUUUUCUGCCUCCUAUACUGUUUGCAAGCUCCAGAUGACCUUUGUGUUGUUCAUGCAUUGCUCUUUGUGCUGUUGAAGUUGGUUGUUUUGAUGCAGAGCUCGUUGGAUUCUCGUUGGAACCUGGCGGCGGCGAUUUCCGUGACCUAUCUUUCAGGUUCCUCAUCUUGUUCAAUGUGAAAGCUCGUUUUGUUCGUUGUCUUUGUCAACGCACGCCAGGGGAUACAGCUCAGAGUUCGUUCGAUGGAUUGGUCAGACCGCAACAAGAAGCUAUGAAGCCAUAGCAUAUGCUGGGUUCAGGAGGAGGAAGGGAGAGCAGAUGGAUAAGAGUCAGAAGAGUAGCCACAGGAGCCUCCCCAAGAGGAUCAUACUGGUGAGGCAUGGGGAGAGCCAGGGGAACCUGGACAUGGCGGCUUACAC